UUCCAAUCUUAGUCUCUUCCUUCUUUUAUAUCUUAGCCCCUUCCAUCUGCAUCUUUCCUUCCUUCCUGUUAAUCCUUCUGUUCGUCCUUCUUUCUUAUCGUCUUUCCUUCCGAUCAUCAUGUCUUCCUUCCUUCCAUCUUAUCUUAGUCCCAUCCAUCUUCCUUCCUGUCAUCACCCCUUCCUUAUACUUUCCUUCCUACGUCCCUCCUUUCAGUUUCACUCUUUCCUUUCUUCCUGCCUUUGUCCAUUUCUUCCUUCCUUGCCAUCUUUGUCCCUCCCUUCCUUCUCAUCUGCCACUACCGACUGGGAGAAAACAGAGACCAGACACAAAGAGAAACAGAGGAGCUGAUCUAGGAGUACUUUCUAUGUUAAGGGAAAGUAGAAGCAUUCAUGGUAUAGUGGCUCCUCUAGUUGCUUCAUCUUGGAGAGAAACCGGUGAUCUCUCAGUUACAGGCCGUAAWUAAAGAACUAAACCAUCCAGCGUUCACCAUCCUUCAGACCAGCAGCUUUCCAWGUUUCUGUUUACUUUCUAAUUGUUCCAGCUGGAUAUGAGCGACUGCGCUGAGGCUGGCUGUCCCUGCUGUGAUUGGCUGAUUCGUCUCCCGUCUGCCUCCACCCAUUGGCCGGCUGCAGCAGGUUGGGAGGGGCAGCUCUGUGCACCCUCCCCCUGCUCCUGUAGCUGAGCUUGUAGAUGUAAAGAGUCUUUCUCUGGCUUUUAUCUGAGUGACUUCAGCGUUCUGCCUCUGAGCGAGUGUGUGUGAGUGUGUGUGUCGGAAGGAGAGUUAAAGAGAGGAAGGAACGGAGAGAGGGAGGGAGAGCCAAGCGGCGUUUAUUUUUCUCCCCCCUGCUCCCUGUCACUCCAUCCUUCCUCCCCUGACCUGGACCACCCUCCAGUCCUGCUUCCAGCCCGMACCGGGACCCCCAUCCACCCGAACCGCCCCGGGACCCUUUGACUCUCCUCACUUCUCCGUCCCACCAACCACCACCCUGACAGGGAUUCCUCUCUGGUUCUGUUCGGAGUGCUGACUGCUAAGACCUCAGCUUCACACAAUCCUUAAGCCCAGCUGCCAGAGGUAAUUUGGUCUAAAAACACCUCAGCUCCACGUCUGCAGCAAAACUUGUUUGCCAGAGAUCCAGUUGACCUCGUUCCACCUGAGUUCUGGAGGUCACAGGUCACAUGACCUGGAAGAAAAAACCCAGGAGGCUUUUGGGAUCGCUCUCCGCAUGGGCUGGCUAUCAACCUGAAGGGAGGUCAAAAGGCUGAUGAACUGAUCUGAGUGGGAGCGCAUUCAUCUGGUGUCCUGCAUGCCCUGGGAGCCCCGCGCCCAGCACUAAUCAGAACCCAGUUUUCCCAGUAUGAAGCGGUUGGUUUCACGCUGCCUGCACCAGUUGAAGGAUGUUAGGUUUGAACAGAACAGACGAGGGAGAAAAAAGCAUGAAGAAAUGUUUUUAUUUGCUGGACACAAUGAAGCAGAACAGGUUGGUUUUAUUCGUAAUGGAUUAUUAAUGACCGACAUCCUGGUAUUUUUGUGUUUGUGUGUGUGAUUCUGCUGCUUUGGACAUGAACUCUGCGCAUACAGAGCAGCAUCUAUAUUGCAUGCAGAGGGAAGAGCUGCAGCAGAGAACCUAUCUAUGACCUGCAGACACUGAGCAGCACAAACAUCAUCAGACCGAGAGGCACAGAAUGGAAAUGCGUGUUAAAGCGGCGCUGCAGCCUCGGUGUCGGUGUCGGUAUUGACCCGGGCACAAAUUGCAAAUGUGUUAUCAGUAAAUCAACAGCUCCUGCAGAGUCCCCUGGCAUAAAUACACAAGCUUUCAAUUUCAUAGUUCAUUAGUGUUCGUUCUGUUAGCUGGUAGCUACUGGAAAUCCUGAACUUUUUUUAAUUUGGUAAUAACUUAUUCGAUUCGGAUCUUGAUUCUGUUGGUUCGUAUGGAUUUUAUUCCAUGUAGCAACGACAUGAAAUGAGUGUCAGGCUGAUUAAACCAGAAAAAAAAGCUCAAAGUCUUAAACCUGAUCAAUACAGUUGAUUCGUUCAAAGAUUAAUUAUUGACGUUUCCAUGGAGGUAGAACCUGAACUAACAUAAUAAAGAGAUUUAUUCUCCGUUUAAAUAUAAACGAUGUGUUUUUAAACCCGCAGAGCCGUUUGCACCUCUGCUAACAGUGGGCUAGCUUUUCCUUUAGCGUCUUCGCGUUUUUGCUAACUCUUAACAACUCUUAGCAUAAACCGAAUAGGUACCUAUGACAAAUAUGACCCUGUUGGGGGAGAUAUAUAACUUUAUUACACAUUUUAUGUCAUUAACUCAUAAUGGGUGUCAUCGGGGUUGAGCUUAGCGAGCUAGCAUGUUUAGCUGUAGCAGAACUAAUGUUUAUGAUUAGCGCAUCAGUUAGCAUAGCUAACUUUUCAGCUAGCGGUGCCUUUCAUAAUUUCAGUGAAAUUAGAAUCGGAAAUGGAAUAAAAAGUUUAAAUAUUCUGGGUUGUUUUUUUUCUCCUGGUUUGGUUUCUGGGUUUUCUUCACUCCGGUUUUAACCCGGCUCGGUGGAGCAACUGAAACAUAAACUAAUGGACGUCCAGCAGAGCUUCACUCAGAAAAGAUAAAAAUUAAUGUACUGUGGGAUGCAACACAUUAAAUUAAAUAUAAGGAAUCUAAUUAAAUCUUCGUCUCUUUUAAAUCUUCCAUCCUUCAUGGGUUUUGACAGAAUAAUAAAUUCUUCAUCUUGAGAUGAUGAUGAUGAUGACAUUUCUCUACAGCUGGACUGGAUCGUCCACAAAAAGUCAAAAUUCAAACUUUAGUUGAUUUUACAUGAAUGAGAAGUGAAGAGCGGUAAAUCAACGUCAGAGCUUCACGUCACCAGAUUACACCCCCCCCCCCGAGGUUCGUCAUAAUCUGUUCAUACAGAUGAUGCAAAAACAUGACAAUCAGCCCAUCGGCUCCAGCGUUCAACCACAUCCUGGUUUCUCUACGAGUCGCGUGUCAGACGUCGUGACGUCACGAGUCGUGAUCCAUCGCCUGCAUGACCUCACGUCCUGACCAGUGGCUCGCCAGCGCCUCAAACUGGGACAUAGUCUGGGAGCUCAGGAAACAUUUUAGGAUUAAAGGCGGCGUGUGAAAAGUUGGAGCUGCGUGGAAGGUUGAUGUUUACCGUAUUGGCUCCGGUUGCCGCCGCUGCAGGACUUCAUGCAUAUCUUUAUUUCAGGAACUGGAGCAGAAUGAUUUCCUUCCUACAGACGGGUUAGAUGUCGACGUUUCACCCAGAAAACAUACAUGUUCAUUAAAGCUCUGAGCUAAAAUGA